GUUUUGAUAGUUUAUAAAAACGUUAUAUUGUGGUUAUAAAAUAGAAUAUUUCUCAGAACA
rnacentral:tRNA from 1 species